GACGAACGCUGGCGGCGUGCUUAACACAUGCAAGUCGAACGGAAAGGCCCCGCUUGUGGGGGGUGCUCGAGUGACGAGCGGGUGAGUCACAAGUGAGUAACCUGCGAUUGCCGGUGAGCUAACGUAAGGAAAGUGGGACUAAUACCGGAUAGGCGCGCCUGAUGCAUGGGGGGGGUUGGAUAGGUUCGGCGGUUUGGGAUGGACUGCGGGCUAAUCAGCUUGUUGGGGGGGUGGUGGCUAACCAAGGCUUUGACGGUUAGCCGGCCUGGGAGGGUGACCGGCCACAUUGGGACUGGGAUACGGCCCGGACUCCUACGGGAGGCAGCAGGGGGGAAUUUGGCACAAGGGGCGGAAGCCGGAUGCAGAAACGCCGCGGGCGGGAUGACGGCUUUCGGUUGGUAAACCGUUUCAGCCGGUGACGAGGUGGUAGUGACGGUAAUGGGUAAAGAAGCACCGGCUAACUACGUG
rnacentral:rRNA from 1 species